UACGGGGGGGGCAAGCGUUGUUCGGAAUUACUGGGCGUAAAGGGCUCGUAGGCGGCCAACUAAGUCGGAUGUGAAAUCCCCAGGCUCAACUUGGGAACUGCAUCCGAUACUGGAUGGCUUGAAUUCGGGAGAGGGAUGCAGAAUUCCAGGUGUAGCGGUGAAAUGCAUAGAUAUCUGGAGGAAUACCGGUGGCGAAGGCGGCAUCCUGGACCGACAUUGACGCUGAGGAGCGAAAGCUAGGGGAGCAAACGGG
rnacentral:rRNA from 1 species